rnacentral:rRNA from 1 species
GACGAACGCUGGCGGCGUGCUUAACACAUGCAAGUCGAACGGAAAGGCCCUGCUUUUGUGGGGUGCUCGAGUGGCGAACGGGUGAGUAACACGUGAGUAACCUGCCCUUGACUUUGGGAUAACUUCAGGAAACUGGGGCUAAUACCGGAUAGGAGCUCCUGCUGCAUGGUGGGGGUUGGAAAGUUUCGGCGGUUGGGGAUGGACUCGCGGCUUAUCAGCUUGUUGGUGGGGUAGUGGCUUACCAAGGCUUUGACGGGUAGCCGGCCUGAGAGGGUGACCGGCCAAAAUGGGACUGAGGUGCGGCCCAGACUCCUACGGGGGGCAGCAGUGGGGAAUAUUGCACAAUGGGCGGAAGCCUGAUGCAGCAACGCCGCGUGCGGGAUGACGGCCUUCGGGUUGUAAACCGCUUUCGCCUGUGACGAAGCGUGAGUGACGGUAAUGGGUAAAGAAGCACCGGCUAACUACGUG